rnacentral:rRNA from 1 species
AUGCUUGUCUCAAAGAUUAAGCCAUGCAUGUCUAAGUAUAAGCUGUUAUACGGUGAAACUGCGGAUGGCUCAUUAAAUCAGUUAUAAUUUCUUUGAUAGUACCUCUUACUUGGAUAACUGUUGGAAUCCGAGAGCUAAUACAUGCAAAAAAGUCCUGACUGGGGGCAACUCCGGAAGGGAUGUAUUUAUUAGAUGUGAAGCCAAUACGGGGCAUCCAAACUGCACGUAGUGGGGCAACUCACUGCGUGUGGGCUUCGUUUUUCUGGUGAAACAUGAUAACUGUGCGAAUCGCAUGACCUUGCGUCGGCGAUGUUUCAUUCAAAUUUCUGCCCUAUCAACUUUUGACGGUAGUGUAGUGGCCUACCGUGGUUUUAACGGGUGACGGAGCAUUAGGGUGCGAUGCCGGAGAGGGAGCCUGAGAAACGGCUACCACGUCUACGGGCGGCAGCAGGCGCGUAAAUUACCCAAUCCUGACUCAGGGAGGUAGUGACAAUAAAUAACAAUACUGGUCCCCACAAGGGAUCGGUAAUUGGAAUGAGGACGAUUUAAAAUAACUACCGAGUAGCAAUUACAGGGCAAGUCUGGUGCCAGCAGCCGCGGUAAUUCCAGCUGUAAUAGCGUAUUUUAAAGUUGUUGCAGUUAAAACGCUCGUAGUUGGAUUUUAGGACGUGACGGGUUUGGUCCGCGUUUCAGCGAGCACUGACCUGUCCGUCCUCCUUAUGGGAUACUCACCUCUGCGCUUAAUUGAGUAGAGGUAGCAGCCGGGCAACCGGUCGGGUUCCCAUUCUUUUACUUUGAAUAAAUCGUAUUUUGAUCAAAGAAGGCCGUAGUGCCAAUGGUCGAUGCAGCAUGGGAUAAUACAAUAAGCGUCUGUCUUGUUGUGUUGGUUUCUUAAAGAUGGACGAAUGAUUAAGAGGGAUAGUUGGGGGUUUUCGUAUUUAAUUGUCAGAGGUGAAAUUCUUGGAUUUGUUAAAGACGAACUACUGCGAAAGCAUUAACCAAGGAUGUUUUCAUUAAUCAAGAACGAAAGUAGGGGGAUCGAAGACGAUCAGAUACCGUCGUAGUCUCUACCAUAAACGAUGCCGACCAGCGAUUCGGAGACGUUAUUUGGAUGACUCCCCGAGCAGCUUGUGAGAAAUCAGAGUGUUUGGGUUCUGGGGGGAGUAUGGUCGCAAGGCUGAAACUUGAAGAAAUUGACGGA